UCGUUUAACCGAUCUGAAAACACCGUUUUCCUAAAAGACGUACACAAAAGACUUCUUAAUAUUCGCUUUUUGCUUUCCAUGCUGCCGUGUAGAAAUGCGACCACGUGUUCAUGCGAAUUUCCUUGCUAAUUUGUCGCAUUCACAAAGACGACUGAUGUCGAUGUCGCUGACGAACCUGACCGCAGCACAGUAUAUUUUAAAUUAAAAAUACCAACAACAAGAAUAAACAUUCCUAAGGCCCCAGCUGGGUGAGAAUUUUACGGCAAAACUUAUAGUAACGAAUGCGGUGGUGGCUGGCAAUGGCUAACGCAGCGCCAACGCCAUUUAAACGACGACAAUCAGCGGCCAUUAUUCGAAUUGUCUACGGCGCAUAUCACUCGGUUCCCAUCAGCUCACUCUCAAUCAGUCAUGAGAGUGUUGGCUCUCUUAACUCUGAUACCUGACAACAAAGAAACACACAUAAAAGAGGGGUUCGCAGAAAGAGCUACUACAGAGUUUCGAAUGCCAGGGAGAGAGCACAGCUUGAUAUCAAUUCAUAUAAUAUAUAAAGAGUAAGCGAGAGGGUAUGAGGGCUUCGGAAUAAAUAAGAGUGAGCGAAAUGAAAAAUAUCUGGUUUUUGUGUAUAAUGAAAAAGUCAUCAGAGGAAUUAGGAGGGGAAUUGCCUAUGAAAAAAAUAUAAAGAGGGGAGUGGAAUGACGCAUUCUCACGCGUAUACUAUAUAAUAUAAACAAAAAAAACAACAAA